UACGGGGGGGGCAAGCGUUGUUCGGAAUUACUGGGCGUAAAGGGCUCGUAGGCGGCCAACUAAGUCAUACGUGAAAUCCCUCGGCUUAACCGGGGAACUGCGUCUGAUACUGGAUGGCUUGAGUUCGGGAGAGGGAUGCGGAAUUCCAGGUGUAGCGGUGAAAUGCGUAGAUAUCGGAAGGAACAUCAGUGGCGAAGGCGACUUCCUGGACCAAUACUGACGCUCAGGUGCGAAAGCGUGGGGAGCAAACAGG
rnacentral:rRNA from 1 species